rnacentral:rRNA from 1 species
AAUGAACGUUGGCGGCGUGGAUUAGGCAUGCAAGUCGAGCGAGAAGCUUAUCAUUGAUCCUUCGGGUGAUUUGGUAAGUGGACAGCGGCGUAAGGGAGAGUAACGCGUAGUUCACCUACCCAGGGGUUCGGAAUAGCGGCGGGAAACUGCCGGUAAUGCCGAAUGAUGUCUCCGGACCAAAGCUCCGGCGCCCUUGGACGGGACUGCGUGCCAUUAGCUAGUUGGUGGGGUAAAGGCCUACCAAGGCUGAGAUGGCUAGUGGGCGUGAGAGCGUGGCCCACCUCACUGGGACUGAGACACUGCCCAGACACCUACGGGUGGCUGCAGUCGAGAAUCUUCGGCAAUGGACGAAAGUCUGACCGAGCGACGCCGCGUGCGGGAUGAAGGCCUUCGGGUUG